AUGACUACAAGUUCGUUACAAAAGAGGAAUUAGAAAAAUUAGGGCUAACACAUCUGGUUGGCACAAACCUUUUACGAGCGUACAUGCAUGGGUAUUUCAUGGACAUCCGACUUUAUCAAAAGGCAAAGACGAUAGCAGAACCAUUUGCAUUUGAAGAAUAUCGAAAGAGGAAAAUUCAGGAGAAGAUAGAAGAAGAGCGUGAAAAUCGUGUCAGAAUUAAGAAAUUACCGCGAAUUAACAGAGCAUUGGCUGAAAAAUUAUUAGAAGAGAAGAAAGAGAAAAAGA